GUGUCAGCAGCCGCGGUAAUACGUAGGUGGCAAGCGUUGUCCGGAUAAAUUGGGCGUAAAGCGAGCGCAGGCGGAAUCUUAAGUAUGAUGUGAAAGCCCUCGGCUCAACCGAGGAAGGUCAUUGGAAACUGGGGAACUUGUAUGCAGAAGAGGAGAGUGGAAUUGCAUGUGUAGCGGUGAAAUGCGUAGAUAUAUGGACGAACACCAGUGGCGAAGGCGACUCUCUGGUCUGUAAUUGACGCUGAGGCUCGAAAGCGUGGGGAGCAAACAGGAUUAGAAACCCUAGUAGUCC
rnacentral:rRNA from 1 species